rnacentral:lncRNA from 1 species
GGGGUUUGCUUAGUAAAAAAUUUUUGUAACGCCAUCCGUUUUCAAGAUACAGGGCGUUGAAGAAAAAAAAAUUUUACGCAUUUUUGAAAAUUGAAAAAUUGAAACAAGGUUUCAAAACUCUAAUUAUUGUUGAUUUAUCGUCAUAACAAUCAAUAAAUGUCAGAUUUCCAUGGAACACUUGGAGAAAAUAGAGGUAUACCUAUUAGAACUUUAUCAUUACUACCAGCAUCAAUUAUUACUUCAUAAUUUUCAAA